rnacentral:lncRNA from 1 species
GAGAGAGAAAGAGAGAGAGUAUAACCAUAGUGUUCCUGAUAAUGGAGGAUAAAUACCUGAAAUUUACAAGCUUGAGUUUCGGUUCUUCUUUUGUUUAUUUCUAUCGAUGUGUAUCAACAGGAGUCACCAGUCACAGUCUUUAGUCUGUAUAUUAAAUUACAGUGGCACAGUCUUUAGUCCAUUUCACUUACUAACAGCACUUAUCACUUUGCAUUACCUUUCUUCCUCCCGGUGUGUAGGCUUGUUUCUUCUUUUUGUUGUGUCAAUGGAUGUACAAAACUUCAACUUUCUUUUCCGAUGGUUGGGUACUUGGGGGAAAAAAGGCUUGGACUGAUUAAAGUUUCUCUCAUCUCUCC